rnacentral:lncRNA from 1 species
UCUGUUUCUCACACACAUCCAUGAGGGAAGAAUCAUUCCCAUUUAACAGACAAUGUAACUGGGCCUGAAUAUAGCUCAGCGACUUGCCCCAGGCCCACCAGGAAGUGGAUAAAGCCAUGCUCAACCCAGCACUUCUUCUCUCUACCUUCCACCGAUCCUGCCUGCUCAUCUUCCCUCCUUGGUGAAGGCAUGUGUGCUGUGCUCUGCUUAACUAAUUUCCCUCAGAUAUUCGCAUUUCUGUCUUUACAAUUUGGCAUCCCAGUGAGGUUUCCCUUUGUAUAUUUUCCGGUUCCUAUAUUCCCAUUAUUCAGGUAUCAUCACUCAAUAACCAUUUGACAGCAGUAAUGCUUUUCACAUGGAAAGAAUUGGGUUUUUAUUGAUGGCAAAUGUUGUGAUGAACUUUCAUGCCCACUUGGAGCCGGAGCACUUUUUUAUAGAAUGAACCACAAUGAGAAGCGUUUCCAAGAAAUGUCUUUGGAGUGUGGACUGAGAUGCCUUGGAAGCAAAGCCCCCAGGAAUGACUGGAAGACAACACUCUGCAGACCCCUUCCACAGGGUACCCCUGCUCUCCAGGAAGGGCCUUCAGGGCAGCAUUUGGAGGUGGCAUGAGCUAGCAGCGGCGUGCAGCCUGGUCACUGUCUGAUCUGGUCAGCCCAGCCGCACAGAACACCACACAGGCUCUGGCAGCUCCCUGGGAAAGAAGAAAGCAGCAUCUUGCAUGUGUGGCUUAUUCUGAAAGGAAUAGUAUCUGAGGGAUUUGAUGGACUCUGACAGGGGGAAGAAGGUAGUGAAAAAGAUGGAACAAAGAUGCCAUUUAAAAAUACUGGCUCGUGUUCAGGAUUUCGCUAUUUUUUACUGCAAGGAACAAGUAAAAAAAAAAAUCCUCCUAUUGAUGAGUAUUUUUCUACAGUCAUUAAAAGUCAAAGGACUCAGGGCUUCCGACUUUCCCUCUUGGGAAACCUGUAAGCUCGUCUUCUGGACAGCUUAGAAAAGGGCUGGAUGGCGAAGGCGAGAGGCUUAAAGGCCCCCAGCAAGCAGCUCCGCCGAGGAACGGGUGCAGGGGACACACUGUGUUUUCAGUUCAGAUUCUGUGAUCUUUCUGCCAAACAGGGGUUUACAAAGCAAAAACCUCCAGAGAAUUCUCAUACUUUCUGGCUUAUUCUCCUGGUGUUCGUCUUAACAGGAAUCAGCUGUUUGCCUUCUCACUUAUACAGCAUGUUGCUGAGGCGAAUUUAGCAUCUGGCCUGGCUAUUAUUAAAAACAAGAACAUCCUGCUCUGUUGGGAGAACAGCACCACUGGCAAUAAAAGGACAGAGAUCAUUUGCAUUCAGGAUUCCAGAGAUGUGUUUCAGUUCAAUAUCUGCGCUCCCUCCUUCCACCCCUGCUUUCAUUUUAAGAUUUCCUGAUGCAUCCAUCACUUGCAGCGUGGUCAACUUUUUUUCUGAAACAGGCACACACAGGCAGAGCAUAUUUUUUCCUUUCACUGGGAGGCAGGAAUGACUGGAGUUGUUCAAACACCGGUCCGUUCCUGCAAUUCCUAUGAUAAAGUUGAACUACCAGAGGAAUUUUUUUUUUUUUUUUUACAACUGCGGAAAUGAAAAAGUAAACAAGACUGGGACUGCAUUGGUAUUUAGGCUCCAGCUUUUUGUUGUUGUUUUUGUCUUUCCCUUUUUUUAAGCCAUUGGGCUAGGAGCCUGAAGGGACCAUAUAAUAUGAAAAACGCUGAGAGGUUUUAUUAGCCAAUAAAAAAAAAAACUGAGUUCCUAUUAACCACUUAACUCCUUGCUGAAGUUCAAACUUGCUUUCUCC